AUGAGAAAGAAAGCGAUUUUUAAAUAAGCAAUCUUUAUGUUUUGUGACCACAUUCAUUUCAGACAAUACUGAGUUGGUAAAGCUUUGACAGUAUUAUUUCUAUCCCUUUCAUUAUAAAGGAGGAUGAUGGUUCCUGAAGAGGGUUCUAGGGACCAAGAUGCUAGUCCUGUGCCAGCCAGCCUUUAUCCACAGGCUCUUGGGAAAACCCAUUAAUCCUUUACAUCUCAAAUUUUAAUAAAUCGUUCAACUUUCUCCAAAGGUGGUUGUGAAAAUAAAAUAUAUUAUUCAGGAUAAAAUUAGAAAUAUACAUUGUAUGAGUCAGUGUAAUGCAGGAAAAACUUGCUAAAAAUGAUAGUUUGUAUUUUAAUACGGUCAAAUAUAAUUCAUUCUUUCUGACAAUAAUUAGAUAUUUGUCAUUUGAAAGUCACAUUUGUUGUGUGGGAGUUCUGUGAAGAUGUGACACAGUGACUGAAUUACCAGCAAACAGAAGAAUGCUCUGCUUUUUUUUCCCCUCCAAGGAUAACAGUAACAAUAAAGGUCAUGUGAGAAACAUGGAGAUUGGGAUCUUAGGAAAAACCUGGAUGGCUUGGCACUGCAAUAAAGUACCAUGAAUAUACUUAGAGCAUGAAUACUUGGCAGUGUAAAUGCCCUCUAGAAAGUCCACGCGGAAUCUCCCAGAGACCCAGGAAGGACCUUGCACACUCUGGAGCUGAAGGCUGGAGGUUCCAGUCCUGAUGAGACCCUGCGACUACCUCCUGGGAAUAAUUCUACCGCUGGUCCUGUCUGCCACUCAGGGGAGGAGCAGAGCAAGGCUGGUCAGCAGUGGUUCCUCCACUAAUGGAAUGUCCAGUGGGGGGCAGUCAUCUGAGCCCCUGGACCAGAGGUUUCGGGGAGCCCCGGCAAUACUUUCAGGAGACCUUCAAGGUAAUUGCUUUCUUGUGGGCUGCAGGAGAGACCCUCCCACGCUGAGCAUUCAGAUGACAAAUUCCAUCACCAGCCUUACCCUCUGGUGCAGGCGUUUGGCCACAUUCUGUC